AAAGUGGAGCAAUCCAUGAGUACAGUGGCGUACGGGUGAGUAACACGUGGAUUAUCUACCUUCUAGUGGGGAAUACCUCCGGGAAACUGGAGACAAUACCGCAUAAGCUCGUAAGAGGAAAGCAGCAAUGCGCUGGAAGAGGAGUCCGCGGCUGAUUAGCUAGUUGGCGGGGUAAUGGCCCACCAAGGCGAAGAUCGGUAGCCGGCCUGAGAGGGCACACGGCCACACUGGCACUGAAACACGGGCCAGACUCCUACGGGAGGCAGCAGUGGGGAAUCUUGCACAAUGGAGGAAACUCUGAUGCAGCGACGCCGCGUGAGCGAUGAAGCCCUUCGGGGUGUAAAGCUCUUUCGACGGGAACGAUAAUGACGGUACCCGAAGAAGAAGCUGCGGCUAACUACGUGCCAGCAGCCGCGGUAAUACGUAGGCAGCAAGCGUUGUUCGGAAUUACUGGGCGUAAAGAGUGUGUAGGCGGUGCUCCAAGUCUGGUGUGAAAUCUCCCGGCUUAACUGGGAGGGUGCAUUAGAAACUGGAAUGCUAGAGGAUGGGAGAGGUAAGCGGAAUUCCUGGUGUAGCGGUGAAAUGCGUAGAUAUCAGGAGGAACACCUGUGGUGUAGACAGCUUACUGGACCAUUUCUGACGCUGAGACACGAAAGCGUGGGUAGCAAACAGGAUUAGAUACCCUGGUAGUCCACGCCCUAAACGAUGCAUACUUGGUGUGAGCGAUUCAUUUCGUUCGUGCCGGAGCUAACGCGUUAAGUAUGCCGCCUGGGGAGUACGGUCGCAAGGCUGAAACUC
rnacentral:rRNA from 1 species